GCAAAGAAGCUACAGUUAAUGGGGAGAGUUCAAUUUGAUUUGCUUCAAGUUAUGCUCAUUGGGAUUGUUUUCUAUGCUCUCUCAGAUUGGUUCAUGGUGGUAUAUUCAUGAAGAUUUUAUCAAAACCGGAAAUUUAUACUAUCACUCUAAUUGUGCAGGUUAUGCAAAGGGAUUGUAUUCAUUGAAUUCUGUUUCAGCACGCUUUGUUAAUGAGCAGGCAAGAAAACCUUUUUCUUUUCUCCGUUCAAUUGGAUUUGCAGCCGGUACUUCUGUCUGUGCCAAGUAACAAGUCCUCGCAUCCUACAUUUUAUCUUUGUGCUUGUGCCUUUUUGUGACUUGAAUUACAUUACUCUCUUUAUUGUUAAGCUUGCUCAUCUUUGUUUAAGCACACUAUUUGAUCACUUAAUCUCAUAUUCAUGAUGUCUCUACUACUCUCUGCUACAAUGUUAAAUCUAUAUACUAUGUUAUAAUGGCAGGGAUACGUGGGAUCUAAUAAGAAAAGAAAUAGAGUUCUUCAUUCAGUACUGAAGUCCACUAUAUAGACAUGUUUCAUCCACACACAAACUCUCUUAUGUACAACAAGGUUGCUUCAAAACAAAAAACCAUCUACAAAAAACACUGAAGUUAGAUCUGCUUUUCGAAUUUCGUUAACACUUCAAUUAGGACCCCAAUAGCUCAAAUACAUCACUGUCCAGAGAGAUUCCUCAGCUUGUUUGUAUCUGUUAUCAUUGCUAUCCUUAUCAGCUUUGUUAUAGGCCAAUUGAUUAUAAGCACCGACAUUUGUUCUCACCUGCUUAGAAGAUCCAGAAGGGAAGGCAGAAGUAGAAGCAGAGUCAUGACUUGCUUUCAUGGCUAAGUCACACUUCGGAGACUUCUCUUUGAUUCUCUGCAUCACUGGUUCCAGUGGAUCUUGUCAUUGACAAUUCUGUUCAGGUUGAUGUGGCAGGAAGUGAAUGCAAUGCAGGCAAAUAUGGGGCUUGAAUUUCAGAGAAACAAGGAGAGGUUUGUUUUUCUGAAGUGGGGUUCCAAUGUUUUUCACAAUAUGCUCAUUGUUCCUCCUGGUUCUGGUAUUGUCCACCAGGUAAGACUUUGGCAUCAUUAGUGCAUCAAGGGUAUUUCUAUAUCUAGAUGUUAUACUGUUGUUAAAGGAAAAUUCUCAUGGCAAGGUGCAAGAAUUUGACCUUAAGGUGGUAUGAAUGGUUUACUCUUAAAAGGGCCAAAACAUUAGAUAGGUAUAGGCUCAAUACAUGAGGUUUGCAAUGUUUAACUAUUUAUGGGGCUUCCAGAGUAAAGCCACAUUUACCUCUAGCCUCUUGUAAAUCAUAGUCCAAAUUUUCUCAUUUUUUUAGCACUAUAAUAUUAUUUGGUAGGUUUGGCAUUUAGCAAGUGACUCUGGUAAUUUUCAAGUUAAUCUUGAAUACCUUGGAUGGGUUAUUUUCUACACAAAUGGCAUUCUGUACCCUGAUAGCGUGGUUGGAAUUGAUUCCCAUACAAAUAUGAUUGCUGGCUUAGGAGUUGUUGGCUGGGGAGUUGGAGGAAUUGAAUCUGAGGCUACAAUGCUUCGCUAGGUAUUUUGAGAUAAUAAUGUAUUUUCUUUAUGAUUUUCUAUACGCUUGUGCCAAUUGUUAGUGUUUGCAGUUAUUCUUUGGUAGAUAGACAUGCAUGAAAUGGGUAGCUGUUUUUUCUUCUUUUUCCUCCAAAGGUGCAAAGAAAAUGCAGCUUCUGC